AUUGAACGCUGGCGGCAGGCUUAACACAUGCAAGUCGAGCGAGCGGCGGACGGGUGAGUAAUGUCUGGGAAACUGCCUGAUGGAGGGGGAUAACUACUGGAAACGGUAGCUAAUACCGCAUACCAUCAGAUGUGCCCAGAUGGGAUUAGCUAGUAGGUGGGGUAAUGGCUAACCUAGGCGACGAUCCCUAGCUGGUCUGAGAGGAUGACCAGCCACACUGUAACGGAGACACGGUCCAGACUCCUACGUGAGGCAGCAGUGGGGAAUAUUGCACAAUGGGCGCAAGCCUGAUGCAGCCAUGCCGCGUGUAUGAAGAAGGCCUUAGGGUUGUAAAGUACUUUCAGCGGGGAGGCGUUACUCGCAGAAGAAGCACCGGCUAACUCCGUGCCAGCAGCCGCGGUAAUUC
rnacentral:rRNA from 1 species